rnacentral:rRNA from 1 species
AUUCAAUAAGCGGAGGAAAAGAAACCAACAGGGAUUGCCUCAGUAACGGCGAGUGAAGCGGCAAAAGCUCAAAUUUGAAAUCCUUCGGGAGUUGUAAUUUGUAGGUUGGGAGACCCCGCGGCUAGUGGCACCAAGUCCCUUGGAACAGGGCGCCUUAGAGGGUGAGAGCCCCGUAGGUACCACAACACCGUCUUGUGUCUCCUCUCCAAAGAGUCGAGUUGUUUGGGAAUGCAGCUCAAAGUGGGUGGUAAAUUCCAUCUAAAGCUAAAUACCGGCGAGAGACCGAUAGCGAACAAGUACAGUGAUGGAAAGAUGAAAAGCACUUUGAAAAGAGAGUGAAACAGUACGUGAAAUUGUUGAAAGGGAAGGGCUUGCAAGCAGACACGGCCUUCGUGCCGGGCCAGCAUCGGUUGCUAGGGGUGGAUAAGGAACAAGGAAUGUAGCUCCUCGGAGUAUUAUAGCCUUGCGCGAUACACCCACUGGCGACCGAGGCCUGCGGUAUUCUUUACCUAGGAUGCUGGCGUAAUGGUUGCAAGCCGCCCGUCUUGAAACACGGACC